rnacentral:rRNA from 1 species
UACGGGGGGGGCAAGCGUUGUUCGGAAUUACUGGGCGUAAAGGGCUCGUAGGCGGCCAACUAAGUCAGACGUGAAAUCCCUCGGCUUAACCGGGGAACUGCGUCUGAUACUGGUUGGCUUGAAUCCGGGAGAGGGAUGUGGAAUUCCAGGUGUAGCGGUGAAAUGCGUAGAUAUCUGGAGGAACACCGGUGGCGAAGGCGGCAUCCUGGACCGGUAUUGACGCUGAGGAGCGAAAGCCAGGGGAGCAAACGGGG